rnacentral:rRNA from 1 species
CACCGGCGGCCCGAGUGGUGAUCGUGAUUAUUGGGUCUAAAGGGUCCGUAGCCGGUUUGGUCAGUCCUCCGGGAAAUCUGAUAGCUCAACUAUUAGGCUUUCGGGGGAUACUGCCAGACUUGGAACCGGGAGAGGUAAGAGGUACUACAGGGGUAGGAGUGAAAUCUUGUAAUCCCUGUGGGACCACCUGUGGCGAAGGCGUCUUACCAGAACGGGUUCGACGGUGAGGGACGAAAGCUGGGGGCACGAACCGGAUUAGAAACCCUAGUAGUCC